AAUCAACGCUGGCGGCGUGCCUAACACAUGCAAGUCGCACGAGAAAGGGACUUCGGUCCUGAGUACAGUGGCGCACGGGUGAGUAACACGUGAAUAAUCUACCUCCGAGUGGGGAAUAACUGAGAGAAAUCUUAGCUAAUACCGCAUAACACUUACGAGUCAAAGCAGCAAUGCGCUUGGAGAGGAGUUCGCGGCAGAUUAGUUAGUUGGCGGGGUAAUGGCCCACCAAGACGAUGAUCUGUAUCCGGCCUGAGAGGGCGCACGGACACACUGGAACUGAAACACGGUCCAGACUCCUACGGGAGGCAGCAGUGGGGAAUUUUGCGCAAUGGGGGAAACCCUGACGCAGCAACGCCGCGU
rnacentral:rRNA from 1 species